GGAAACUGCUGGGUGUGGCCCUGAAGCAUGCAUUGGCCCGUUUCCCUGCCCGCUGGCCCUGGUUGCAUCUCAUGCUCAGACUCCCUCUCCCUCCUCUCUCAAAGCAUCUUCAUACAGGGAUGGUGAUCCUCUGGGUCCUCCUGGGACUCCUGUCCUCCUGGUUGGCCUGUUCUCUAAAAACCUGAAAAAGGAAGUGAGAAGACUGCUCAAGAUGCAGCUGGACAUCAGAGCAGGAGGCUCCAGGACUGAGGUAGGGCAGGUGAGCCUGCAAGCUGGGGGUCCCUUUAUGUACUGGGGCAGGUGGGGCCAUUUGUAGGUUGAGGGUGAACAUCUCAUCUUGACUGCUGGCACUGCCUGGGCUUCCUGUGUUCUGAGACCUGAAGACAUUGCCUGAGACCAAGGCCUCACUGCUCAGCUUUUGGAGCUUCUAGAAGAGGAAUCAUGGGGCCAUCAGGCUGCAGACUGCAAGCACCCAUCCUGGCACCCCAGCACUGUCAGAAAGGGCCUGGAAGACACACCUCUCCUGACCUGAGAAACUCUCAGAUCAAUAGCUCUUUCCUGAUAUGAAAGAGGACAUGUGGGGAUACACAUCUGGCCACAUGUACACAGGGCCACCCAGGAAAGACAGCAAGGGAUGGUGACAGUCAGCUGGGUCCAUGUGUCCUCGGGAGACACCAGAAGAGGAAAUCAGGGAAAUGGAAACACCCAUGGUCCCAGGGACUUCGCAUGGCUGACAGAAGGGGCAGGGAAGGGCUGAGUCCCAUGUUUUUGGGCCUGUCCUUCCUCAACUCCCACCCCCUGAGAUGAGCGGACACAUCCCUUUACACCAAGACCUCAUCUCCCUGAAGGUUUCCCAACUUUCUGCCUGUUGUACAAAUCCUGGACUCCACCCUGUGCUGACCAGGUGUGUAUCCCUCUGCUGACCUGAGGACCUGCCUCAGACCAAGGGCCCCACCUCUCUGAGAUAUGGGAGGCAGAAAGUGAAGGGGCACUACACGGACACCCCUCAUGGGAUGCCAAAGGCUGCCAGAUGAAGCAGAUUUCUGGGGCGCCUCCUCUCUCUGGAUUUCCUCCAGAGCCUGGGCCCGCUGCCCUCAGCGGAUCACAAGCCGCCCCUCAGAACCAGGCUAUCACUUCUCUCUGACCCACUAAUGUGCAAGUCCGCAGUACCAAGCCCGGAGGUCCUUUGCGUUGACUGCAGGGACAAGGAUGGACUCUGGGGCCCCUCUAUCAGGAUGGGGUGGAACCUCUCCAUAAUUUCUCAGAGUCUUGAAGUUGAUGUCUGGAAAGGCCGGGGCCCCACCCUUUAUGGAACUGCCUCUGCCCGGGUCACACCAUAGACUAGCAGAGUCUGCUUGAGCACUGAGAGCCUGGACCGGCUGCCCUCUGCCACUCUCAAGAUACCUCUCAGAAAGACUCUUUCGCUUCUCUCAGAUCCCACAGGCGGAAGCCAAUGGAGGUCACAUCCGGUCCCCAUGCUUGGAGCUUCCCUGGAUUGACAGCAGGGGCGGAACCCGAUUCUGCCCGUGUGGGGGCGGGGCGGGGCGGGGGGAAAAGUAGUGGCGACGGGUGCAGAUGUGGUCGAGGGUCAUGGGGGUGCCUCAAUCCUCCCUCAGGUUUCUGACCUUGAUUCCUUGCAGAGCCUGGAGCUCCGUCCUCUGCCAGUGAUGUCUGCUCCUCUCAGACCAAGUCUCUGACUCUGAGUCCCCUGAGGUGGCAGUGAGCGGGAGGUGUGAGGUCGGGGGACAACAUUGCCAAGGUCUUCCGGGGCUGACAGGAGGGACCGAGCUGGAUUCUGUGGCCCCUCUAUGUGGGGAGGGUGGACCGUCGGUCCUCACUCAGGAGGGUCCUCCUCUUGGCUACCGGUUCUUUCAUGAAGUGAUGGGUGGGAGAUGCUCUGUUUCUGUCACCUCUGAGCAUUGCCCAACUGCACCCCUUGCAGAGAAUAGCUGCGGAUCCCAGGCCAGGUGCUUCCAUGUGGCUUCAGUACCCCCGUGAUUGUAGUGACCUCUUGGAGAAGAUGCACACCUUCCCACGGGGGCUCCUCCCCAGCCAGAGCUAGACUUUGCAAACUUUUGCCCUGAAAGCUUUAUUUUUACGCUGAAGAGGCUGAGUGGCUGCAAGAAAUUUGCGGAAGUCCUGCGUUUAGAAUUUAUCUAACACUUCAUAGUUCAUUUUAGUGAUUUUCAUUUUUUAAUUCUCAUUCAGUGUCAAAAAUCAUACUUAACCUAACUAUGCCUAUUUCACUCCAAUGGUCAAUACUCUAAUUUAAUCCAUUCUUUAUCUUCAAUUAAAACGAUAAUUUUAAAAAAGCCAAUCUUAUCUACUGAUGUGGUUUUAGUGGUUAUUAGCACAAAUUCCAGCCGUAUUCCUUUAAUCAACCAGUGUUUCCUCCUGUCCUGAAGUUACCCCAUGACUACUGGCACCUGUGGUCUGAGACCCUACCCUAGUU